CUCAGUGCUUAGCACAUUGAUAUAUAGUAAGUGUUUAGUAAAUGCUUAUUGACUAAUGACUGAAAAUCUGAAAGGAUUUUAGGAACCCCUAAGGAUAUUGGGCCACUCUGACGAAUAUUCACAGGGAAAUCUGAUGCAGAAACUUCUUCUGCCAAUGCAGGCAAGGAAGAACCUCUGAAGUAUUUUUGAGCAGAUGAUGAAACCGAGGCUCAAAGAAGCUAAGGUGUGAAUUAGAUUGGAUAAUCUCUGGGAACCCUUUCGA
rnacentral:lncRNA from 1 species